rnacentral:rRNA from 1 species
CCCUUAGAUGUUCUGGGCCGCACGCGUGCUACACUGAUGCAUUCAACGAGUUUCUUCCUGGUCCGAGAGGAAUGGGUAACCUUUUGAAAGUGCAUCGUGAUAGGGAUAGACUAUUGCAAUUAUUGGUCUUCAACGAGGAAUUCCUAGUAGACGUAGUUCAUCAGACUGCAUCGAUUACGUCCCUGCCCUUUGUACACACCGCCCGUCGCUCCUACCGAUUGAAUGCUCAGGUGAGCCAUUCGGACUUUCAUCUUGCUGGUUUCCAGUUUUGAUGAAGGAAAGUCUUGCGAACCUUAUCAUUUAGAGGAAGGAGAAGUCGUAACA